CUUCAUCUCCAUCAAGAUUUCAGUUUAUUCAUAUUGUUGAAAAACAUUUUAAGAUGAUUUUGUCCUUUUUUUUAACCACAAAUACAAUUUCCAUAACACUGGGGCACACAUUCGAUUGUGCAUUGUUUGUCACUAGUUUCUGAUCCUGAUUGGAAGUGGCAUUCGCAUAUCCCAAGUUCAAAAUCAAACGCCUGUUUUGCGAUGCAUUUUUGCGAGGCACACUCCGCAUCGCUCCGACACGCAGGUCCUUCAAAAAUAGUUAACAAUAAAACAUGUAAUAUAUAUAUAUAGAGAGAAAAGUUAAACAGAGAAUGCUAAAUAUUUAGAGAAUAGAGAAUUCGUGAAAUAAAAACGAACAGAUCUACAAUUUUUACGAACAGAUCAAUGUACCGCGUAAACAGCAAUUUUCCCUGGGUUCGAAUCCUGUUGGAGGCGAGUUUUUCUCUUUUUUUACUAAAUACGUCUGUUCGUUAGUUAUGUUAAUCUGUUCGUAAAAUGUAUAGACUUGUUCAAAAUGAAAUAUAUAAUAAUUCUCUGUUUAACUUGACCCUAUAUAUAUAUAUAUAUAUAUAUAUAUAUAUAUAUAUAUAUAUAUAUAUAUUAUUAGUAGUAUAUAUUAUUNAGUACAAUGAUUAAUGAACUGUUGUUAACUAAAUUGAUUCCUUGCUCAUCUCAUUAACUUCCUACAAAUAUAAGUAUGAAAAAGAAAACUAGUUAUUGCACGCCAAAGGCUCAAAUUGCUCUUUAUGCUAAGAGCCAGUGUAGAAGUAAAAUGUUUAUUCAAAAAUACUAGUAAUAUAUAUUAUCACAAAAAUUCAUGUGAAAUCGGCUUCACAAUGAUACUAUACUUCAACAUACAAAUGAUACUUUAUCAUUAUAAAGUGUCAUUUGUAUGUCGAAGUAGUAUCAUUGUAAAGCCGGUUUCACGGUGAAACCAGUUUCACAGGAGACCACCUCAUAUAUUAUACUUGAUUAUUCGGUCUUUGUGGUAUUCUUAAUACUAUUUUUGUUUUCUUUUUAGUAUAAAAAUGAUGUUUUAGUUACCAAUUUUCCUGAUAUACAAUUUUUCUUCAAAUUGUAGAUUCUUUGUCAAGAGAUUAAAAUAAAAAAUAAUCAUUGAAUGCGAUUUAAAUCAUUUGUUGGUUUCCUAUUUGUGUAAUCUAGAUUGCAAGAAUUUUGAUAGAACUCAUGGGAAUCUUUAAUGACAUGUAAUAACUAAUAUUUAUAAGUUCUUCCACAACUAUAUACAUUACUUGACUUGUUAGACAUACCAAAAUUGAUUUAAAGAUUUUUAUUAAGAAUCGAUUUAAACACAGUUUACUAAUAUUCAAAUUUGGUGGUCAUUUACAAUCACAGCCUCAUAUAUCAAAACCAUGUGAUCUGUAUAACUCCAAAAUGGGCAAAAUCUAGAUCAAUUUCACAAAUAUUCAUCAUGAACGAAAAUGGCAAAAUUUUGACAAAUUAAGUUCAUUGAUUAAUUUCAAAACCAUGCAUGUGACCUGUAAAGCUCCACAAUGUCCAAAAUUUAAAUCAUGUAUUUUGAUUCCUUUUAUUUUAUAUUAAUUUUUAAUAAUUGAAUAAUUAAUUUAUUACGAUUUCAUAAAGAAGUUAUUAAUUUUAUUUCAAUAAAAUUAUUUUAGGCCCAAUUACAUUUUUCUUCUACUCCACACAUUUUUUAGCAAAGAUAAAAUUGACCAUGAACAAAAUCACGAAAAAUAUUGGUACCCAUUUCAGCAUUCUCUCUUCUCUCAUCAUCAAUCUAAUGCCACAUCCCCACUCUUUCUCUCUCUCUAGAAUUUAAAUCUGAUAUCUUCUCUCUCGAUCGCCCCAUACUGAUUUUCUUGUUUCCCCUCUCUCUGUGAUGGAUGGCUGAAAAGCAACGUUGCCAUCUUGAUUACCUAUUUAGCUAUUUUAAAUUUAUUAGAAUUGACCAAUCACAUAUAUAGUAGUCACUUUAUUUCUUAUCAGUUUUCCCAUUUUCCAUUUUGUGAUUCUAAUGGGUAAUAUUGAUAUGAAAGUCUCUAUGCAUUCAUUCUUGAUGGAGACAAUCAGAUCCUCUUUGCAACCUUGUUUCCCCUCUCUCUGUCUGCACCAAACUUUCUUAUUAGGCCCCGUUUUUUAGGUUGGGCUUUGCUUAUAUUUAAAUGUAAACUGAUACAUCGACUGAUUUAUAAACUGAUUCAUAUCUAUAUUUCUGAAAAUCGACCCCACAAUCCAUAACCCUUCGCAUUUUCAUCUCAAAUUUGUACGUUGAUCGGUUUUUAUCUAUGUGGAAUUGGAAAUUCACACGGAGGAGGCCGAAAAUGACAUGGUGGCCGCUGGAAAUGACACGUGUCAAUUUCCGACGUCCACGUAGAUAAAAACCGAACACCGGAAAAAUUUGAUACGAAAAUGAAAGGUUAUGGUUGAUUUUCAAAAAUUGGUGCAAUUUCCAAAUUCUGGAAUACAUUGUGGAUUUAAGGCAAUUUGCCCCAAAAUUAAUCAUAUAUUAAAAAAAUGCAAAAAAUUAGUAACGCUUCAUCUCCAUCAAGAUUUCAGUUUAUUCAUAUUGUUGAAAAACAUUUUAAGAUGAUUUUGUCCUUUUUUUUAACCACAAAUACAAUUUCCAUAACACUGGGGCACACAUUCGAUUGUGCAUUGUUUGUCACUAGUUUCUGAUCCUGAUUAGAAGUGGCAUUCGCAUAUCCCAAGUUCAAAAUCAAACGCCUGUUUUGCGAUGCAUUUUUGCGAGGCACACUCCGCAUCGCUCCGACACGCAGGUCCUUCAAAAAUAGUUAACAAUAAAACAUGUAAUAUAUAUAUAUAUAUGGAAGGGCUAAAAUAAGAGCAUUUCUUAAGAUAUAAAAUAAGAAUCAUUUUCAGCCCUUAGAUCAUCAAGAUCUACGGUUGAAUACAACAUCAAAAAAAUUUAUUAAACUUACCAUAUUCGCUGAAGAUAUAUCUUUGCUCAUCGAGACAAAUGCAAACGCCAU
rnacentral:lncRNA from 1 species